rnacentral:ncRNA from 1 species
AUUAAGUGCCAUUCAUUUGAAAUGGAGAGAGGGAAUCAGGUGAGAGUCCUGAGCGAUCCGGUCACUGUGACAGGGGAACGAGAUUCCGAGAUCCCAUUGUGCUUAGAGUAUGAGAAGGGGGAAUCGAGUAGCGAUCCUGGAGCCAGGAAACCUGCUUAAUA